GCCUGGGUGGCUCAGUCGUUUGAGUGUCCGACUUCGGCUUGGGUCAUGAUCUCAAGGUCCGUGGGUUUAAUCCCCACAUUAGGCU
rnacentral:tRNA from 1 species